UGAAGGGAUGAUGGGUGAGCUACCAAGGCUAACAUUUUCCCGAGGACAUUGAGUUAGGGAAGUGGCCUCUCCUUGAGGGAAGGAGCCAGAUGACUUCUCAGAGAACAACAACCAUAUUCAAAAUAUUCUCAAGUUUCUUUUGUUUCUUCUUGUCUGCAUCUGAUAUCCAGGACAUUAUUCCACAGGAAAAGGUUAACAGGAAAUCAAGAUCGGCCCGCUCCUACAGCAAAAGAAGUACUAAGAGGAAAGUUUAUAGUGAUAAGCACCUACAUAACAAAAAACUUCAAAUAAACAACCUAAUGAGGCAUCUUAAGGAAUGAGAAAAGAGCAAACUGAAUACAAAAUUAGUAGAAGAAAAGAAAUAAUAAAGUUCACAGCAAAAAUAAAUGAAGAAAACAAUACAAAAGAUCAAUAAAAUAAAAAUUUGUUUUUUUGAACAGAUGAACAACAUUGACAAACCUUCAGGCAGACUAAGAAAAAAAAGAGCAAAAAACCCAAAUAAAUAAAAUUAGAGAUGAAAGAGGAGACAUUGCAGCUGAUUUCACAGAAAUUCAAAGUAUCAUUACAGGCUGCUAUGAACAACUAUAUGCCAAUAAAUGGGAAAACCUGGAAGAAAUGGAUAAAUUUCUAGAAAAAUACAACCUACCAAGAUUGAACCAUGAAGAAAUCCAAAACCUGAACAGAUCAAUAACAAGUAAUAAGAUCGAAGCUGUAAUAAAAAGUCUCCCAGAAAAGCAAAGCCUAGGAUUCAAUGGCAUCACUGCUGAAUUUUAUCAGACAUUAAAAAAGAGCUAAACCCUAUUCAAAUUAUUCCAAAAAACUUAUUCUACAAGGCGAGUAUUACACUAAUACCAAAACCAGACAAAGAUGCAUAAAAAAAGAAAACAAUAUGCCAAUAUCCCUUAUGAACAUUGAUGCAAAAAUCCUCAACAAAAUACUAGUAAACCAAAUUUAACAGUACAAUAAAAUGAUCAUUCAUCAUGACCAAGUUGGAUUUAUCCCUGGGAUGUAAGAAUGGCUCAACAUAUGCAAAUCAAUCAAUGUCAUACGUCAUAGCAAUGAAGGACAAAAACCAUAUGAUCAUUUCAAUUGAUGCUGAACAAGCACUUAACAAAAUUCAACAUUUAUUCAUGAUAAAACCCUAAAAAAAUUGGAUCUAGAAGGAACAUACCUUAGCACAAUAAAAGCCAUUUACAACAGACUCAUAGCUAGUAUAAUACUGAAUGAGGAAAAACUAAAAGCUUUUCCUUUAAGAUCGAGAACAUGACAAGGAUGCCCACUUUCACCACUGUUAUUUAAUGUAGUACUGGAAGUCCUAGCUGGACCAACCAGACAAGAGCAAGAAAUAAAGGAAAUCCAAAUUGGAAAGGAAGAAGUCAAAUUAUCUUUGUUUGCAGAUGCUAUGAUCUUAUAUUUGGAAAAGCCUAGAGAUUCCACAAGAGAACUAUUAGAACUGAUAGACAAAUUCAGUAAAUUUGAAGGAUACAAAAUCAACAUACGAAAAUCAGUAGCAUUUCCAUAUGACAACAGUGAAUCUGAAAAAGAAAUCAGGAAAUUAAUCAUAUUUACAAUAGCCAAAAACAAAAUAAAAUACCUAAAAAUUAACCAAAGAAGUCAAAGAUGUCCACAAUGAAAAAUAUAAAACACUGAUGCAAAAUUUGAAGAGAAUAUAAAAAAAUGAAAAGAUAUUCCAUGUUAAUGGAUUGGAACAAUCAAUAUUGUUAAAAUAUUCAUACUACCUAAAACAAUCUAUAGAUUAAAUGCAACCCCUAUGAAAAUACCAAUAACACUCUUCACAGAAAUAGAGAAAAACAAUCCUAAAAUGUAUAUGGAACCAUAAAAAACCCAGAAUAGCCAAAGCUAUCCUCAGCAAAAAGAACAAAACUGAAGGAAUCACAUUAUCUGACUUCAAAUUAUACUACAGAGCUAUAGCAACCAAAACAGCAUGGUACAGUCAUAAAAACAGACACAUAGGCCAAUGAAACAGUAUAGAGAACCCAGAAACAAAUCCAUACAUCUACAGUAGACUCAUUUUCAACAAAGCCAAAUAUAUACAUUGGAGAAAGGAUAGUCUCUUCAAUAAAUGGUGCUGGGAAAACUGGAUAUCCUUAUGCGGAAGAAUAAAACUAGACUCCUAUUUCUCAUCACACACAGGAAUCAAAUCAAAAUGGACCAAAGAUUUAAAUAUAAGACCUUAAACUGUGAAACUACUCAAAGAAAACCCUGAGGAAACUACCCAGGACAUUGGUCUGGGUAAAGAUUUCUUGAGUAAUACUCCACAAGCACAGGCAGCCAAAGCAAGAAUGGACAAAUGGGAUCACAUCAACUUGAAAAGCAUCUGCACAGCAAAGGUAACCAUCCACAAAAUGAAGAGUCAACCCAAAGAAUGGAAGAAAAUAUUCACAAACUAUCCAUCUGACAAGGGAUUAAUAGCCAGAAUAUAUAAGGAGCUCAAAUGACUUUAUAGGAAAAAACCUAAUAAUCAGAUUUUAAAAUGAGCAAAUAUCUGAAUAAACAUAUCUCACAAGAAGAUAUACAAAUGGCAACAGGUAUAUGAAAAGGUGCUCAACAUCAUAGAUCAUCAGAAAAAUGCAAAUCAAACUACAAUGAGAUAUCACCUUACUCCAGGUAAAAUGGGUUAUAUCCAAAAGACAGGCAACAACAAAUGCCAAAGAGGAUGUGGAGAAAAGGGAACCCUUGCACACUAUGGAAUGGAAAUUAGUACAGUCACGAUGGAGAACAGUUUGGAGGUUCCUCAAAAAACUAAAAAUAGAGCUACCAUAUGAUCCAGCAAUCCCACUGGUAAGUAUAUACCCAAAAGAAGGGAAAUCAAUAUAUUGAAGAAGUAUCUGCUCUCCAGUGUUUAUUGCAGAAUGAUUCACAAUAGCCAAGAUCUGGAAGCAACCUAAGUGUCCAUCAACGGAUGAAUGGAUAAAGAAAAUGUGGUACACAUUCCAUAAAAAAGAAUGAGAUCCUGUCAUUUGCAACAACAAGUAUGGAGCUGGAGGACAUUAUGUUAAGUGAAGUAAGUCAGGCACAGAAAGACAAACUUGGCGUGUUCUCACUUAUUUGUGGGAGCUAAAAAUUCAAACAAACUCAUGGAGGUAGAGAGUAGAACAAUGGUUACUAGAGGCUGGGAAGGGUAGCAGGUUAGUGAGGAGUAAGGAGGGAAUGGUUAAUGGGUACAAAAAUAUAGUUAGAAUGAAUAAGAUCUAGUAUUUGAUAGCACAACAGGGUGACUAUAGUCAACAAUAAUUUAGUGUACAUUUGAAAAUAGCUCAAAGAGUAUAAUUGGAUUGUUUGUAAUACAAAGAAAGGAUAAAUGCUUGAGGCAAUGGAUCCUCCAUUUACCCUGAUGUGAUUAUUAUUUGUUGUAUGCCUGUGUCAAAAUAUCUCAUGUACCCUAUAAAUAUAUGUACCUACUGCGUACCCACAAAAAUUAAAGAUUAAAAAAAGAUUAAUUAUAACAAGAGAUUGCCUACUAAGAGGCAAAGAGAACUCCAAGGAAUAUAGUAAUAGCAGAUAUAAGGAACAGCUACUACCGCUAGGACUGAGGCAGAACACCCAAGGAGAGGAAAUCCCCACAGUCAUCAAAGUCCACUUUCAACCCCCCACCUGCAUCCCCAGGCUGAGAUCCAGACCUCAUUGGAGAGGGUGUGGGCGUGGCCUGUUGAAUACAAGAUACACAAUGCCAGAUGGCACUCUGGCAAAAGUUACUGAGAGGCCCCUUUAUGGAGCUGGGGGAGGCUCUCUGUGGGGAGGUACUGUACUGGUGAUAUCUGCUGGGAGGCUAUACUCUGGUGGACAUGAGGAAGUCAUUCCCAGGGAGAUGCCACACUAUGGAGCUUACUCUAAAGCUGCCCAUGGAGGUAGUGUACUGAGAAGUGGCUCUGGUUUAUCAGGAGGUGAUGCCACUGAAACUUGCUGAGGGUGAGCACUGGGGCUCCCACCUGUCCCUGGCCACUGGAUGCUAGAGGUGCAAGCCCAGAAGAAGCCUAUUGGAUUCUUCCUCCCCUCCCCUCCCUUCCCAUCUCUUCCUCCCUCCCUUUCCCCUCUUCUUCCUCCCUCUCCCCCUCUCCUCUCCCCUCCCCCUCUCCUCUCCCCUCCCUCUCUUCCCAUCCUUCCUCCUCUUCCCUUCCUUUCCCUUCCCCUCUUCCUUUCCCUUCCCCUCUUCCUUUCCCUUCCUCUCUUCCUUUCCCUUCCCCUCUUCCUUUUCCUUCCCUUCCUUCAGCUCCCCCUCUCUCUGACUCUUCCUUUCUCUCUCUCUCUCCCUGACUCCUCUAUACCCCUUUAACCAAAGUCAGUUUCUUUAGAAGACUCAGGACACUUCUUGUGUGUCUGGGCAUGGCAAUUUGUUCAUCAGUUUCCUAUGAGCAUAUUAAAACACUAAUUAUAACUAUGAAAAUGUACAGUUGGUGUAUAGUUAGCUCUUACACCAUAUCAGCUGAUGGGAAGUAAGACUGAAAAAAAAAUAGAAUAAUGUCUUUCAUUAGGAGAUUAGAUUGUGCUGUGUGCAUUUUGUAUCAUGUUUUCUUCUUUGCUCUUACAUAUAAAAAGCAGUGUUUCUACAUAAGAUUUGCAUGAGUGAAAAGAACACAAGGUUAGGAGAUAUCAUCCUGGUUGUGUCCCCAAGUGGUAUGGUGACCCUAAGCAAAUAACACUUUCUUUGAUUUCAGUUUUCUCAUCUUUCAAAUAGGAAUAACAUUUAUUCAUUCACGUACUUGUUAAUCCUGUCUGUAAACAUUUUUUAGGUUGCUUAUUUUGUGUCGGCCGCUGUGCUAGCACUGGAGAUUUGUAGCUUACUAAGUCAUUACCUGUCUCCUUAGGGAGCCACCUUGUAGUCCUAAAAAUAAAAUACAAUGCCCCAUUUUAGAGAGUUCUCAUAAAAAUCAAAUGAGAUGAUGGAUUAUAGGUACUUGAAAAAGAUUAAAAAAUCACUCUUCAAAUGUAAGAGGUUGUACUGAUAUUAAUAUCACAGUCAUCACAACCGCAGAAUGGCAAUUAACUUAUUGUGUUUUUUAUUUCAUUGACAUUAGGGCUAAGAGGAGGAUUGUAAGUGAUUCAGGUAAGGACCAGAACAUCUAUAUUCCCAAAGAAUGUUUCCCAUAAAUUAACAGUCAUUAAAAUUAACCUGUGAAGUUAAUUAUGGUAUGUGACACAGAUGGCUUUAAGCUUUAUGCAGUUAUGUUCUUGACCAGAUGAGGUCUUCCUUUUAUUAGUUUAUGAGUCACAGGGCAAGUGUGAUGGUGUGCUAGGAAUGCUUAAUCAGGAUCAGGAGCUAGAGUUACUUCUGGCCUUGGGGGGAAAAAGAAAACCUUUUCGGCAUAUUCAUUUUUGUUUUUUAUUGUGAAUAAAGCACCCUUUAUUGCUGCUCAGGGUGCAAUAAACCUCUCAAAUCCUUGGGCCCUGGAUCUUGUGUGACCUGCCCUUUCAUCUCUGAUGCUUUCGCUUCUGGAGUUUUGACAAUGUCGGAUCUCCUUCAUGCGCUCUUGCUCCUCUUUGCUCUCUCUCUUUUCCUUUAUCAAGGUCUCACCAGCUCUCUGGGAGGAGGAUUGCAUCAUCCCAACCACAGACUACCCGGAGCUUUGGGUGCUCUGUAGCUGCUCAUGUCCUUUCCAGUCCCUUCAACCAAGGAGAAGAAUGACAGAUUGCUGGCUGAGAGUAUCCAGAGUGGCUGUUAGCUAAUGAUUGCUAUAAAUUCUGAUAAUAAUAAUAGCAAUCAUAAAUAAUAUAAAACAGUGGCAUUGCAGCAGCUGGUAUUCAUGCUGCUCAGACUCUUAUUUAAAGAAUUUAAACUUUUUUUUUGGAGGAGACUUACAAGAAUCUUGGGUCACAUGGUACCACUUGGCCACAAGGACUUGACAAGUAGUAAUGAGCAGGGUUUCUUGAAGGCAGACAGAAAGAUAGGGACAGCUGUCCUGGAGAGUCACCCAUCCUGCAUCAGAACCGAAUAAGUGAGAAAUAAACCUUUAUUGUGUUAGGCCACGGAGGUUUUGGGUUUUGUUUGGUACAUUAGUGUAGCAUGACCUAUCUGUACUACAGUCACUCACAUCGCUGCUGUUAUGUAUUUUUUUAAAUAAGCUUAGCACUGGAGACCCCAUGGCUGGGUUAACUCUAGUUAAAAAUAUUUGUUACGGCCGGGCGCAGUGGCUCACGCCUGUA
rnacentral:lncRNA from 1 species